UACGAAGGGGGCUAGCGUUGCUCGGAAUUACUGGGCGUAAAGGGAGCGUAGGCGGAUAGUUCAGUCAGAGGUGAAAGCCCAGGGCUCAACCUUGGAAUUGCCUUUGAUACUGGCUGUCUUGAGUAUGGGAGAGGUUAGCGGAACUCCGAGUGUAGAGGCGAAAUUCGUAGAUAUUCGGAAGAACACCAGUGGCGAAGGCGGCUAACUGGCCCAUUACUGACGCUGAGGCUCGAAAGCGUGGGGAGCGAACAGG
rnacentral:rRNA from 1 species